rnacentral:rRNA from 1 species
GACGAACGCUGGCGGCGUGCUUAACACAUGCAAGUCGAACGAAGUGGCGAAAGGGUGAGUAACGCGUAAUCAACCUGCCCUUCAGUGGGGGAUAACAGUUGGAAACGACUGCUCAUACCGCAUACUGAAGGAGGGGGUUGCGUCUGAUUAGCUAGUUGGGGGGGUAACGGCCUACCAAGGCGAUGAUCAGUAGACGGGCUGAGGGGGUGAACGGGCACAUUGGGACUGAGGCACGGCCCAGACCCCUACGGGAGGCAGGAGUUGGGAAUCUUCCGCAAUGGACGAAAGUCUUGCGGAGCACCGCCGCGUGAGGGAUGACGGCCUUCGGGUUGUAAAGGUCUGUUAAUCGGGACGCGGUACCGGAAUAGAAAGCCACGGCUAACUACGUGCCAGCAGCCGCGGUAAUAC